rnacentral:misc_RNA from 1 species
AAGUCGUAACAAGGUUUCCGUAGGUGAACCUGCGGAAGGAUCAUUAACGAUCGGCCUCGUGGCCUUAUCGAUUGUUAACCCUGACACCUCCGUGAACCGUCUUCGGCCCCCGGGCUGAUCUUUUUACAAUACAAACAUUGUGUAACGAACGUCUUGUUAUCUUAACGAAAACAAAACUUUCAACAACGGAUCUCUUGGCUCUCGCAUCGAUGAAGACCUGUCUCUUAUA